rnacentral:rRNA from 1 species
CUACGGGCGGCUGCAGUAGGGAAUCUUCGGCAAUGGACGGAAGUCUGACCGAGCAACGCCGCGUGAGUGAAGAAGGUUUUCGGAUCGUAAAGCUCUGUUGUAAGAGAAGAACGAGUGUGAGAGUGGAAAGUUCACACUGUGACGGUAUCUUACCAGAAAGGGACGGCUAACUACGUGCCAGCAGCCGCGGUAAUACGUAGGUCCCGAGCGUUGUCCUGAUUUAUUGGGCGUAAAGCGAGCGCAGGCGGUUAGAUAAGUCUGAAGUUAAAGGCUGUGGCUUAACCAUAGUACGCUUUGGAAACUGUUUAACUUGAGUGCAGAAGGGGAGAGUGGAAUUCCAUGUGUAGCGGUGAAAUGCGUAGAUAUAUGGAGGAACACCGGUGGCGAAAGCGGCUCUCUGGUCUGUAACUGACGCUGAGGCUCGAAAGCGUGGGGAACAAACAGGAUUAGAUACCCCGGUAGUC